rnacentral:rRNA from 1 species
UACGUAGGUGGCGAGCGUUAUCCGGAAUUACUGGGGGUAAAGGGCGCGUAGGCGGCAUUGUAAGUCAGAUGUGAAAUCUCCCGGCUCAACCGGGAGCGUGCAUGUGAUACUGCAGUGCUAGAGUGAUAAAGGGGAAAGCGGAAUUCCUGGUGUAGCGGUAAAAUGCGUAGAUAUCAGGAGGAACACCAGAGGCGAAGGCGGCUUUCUAGCUAGUAACUGACGCUGAGGCGCGAAAGCUUGGGGAGCAAACAGG